UACAGAGGUCUCAAGCGUUGUUCGGAUUCAUUGGGCGUAAAGGGUGCGUAGGUGGCGCUGUAAGUCGGGUGUGAAAUUUCGGAGCUUAACUCCGAAACUGCAUUCGAUACUGCGGUGCUUGAGGACUGGAGAGGAGACUGGAAUUCAUGGUGUAGCAGUGAAAUGCGUAGAGAUCAUGAGGAAGACCAGUGGCGAAGGCGGGUCUCUGGACAGUUCCUGACGCUGAGGCACGAAGGCCAGGGGAGCAAAACGGG
rnacentral:rRNA from 1 species